UAACUACUCCCUCAGUUCGGAAUUACUUGUCUCGAAAAUGGAUGUAUCUAGAACUAAAAUACAUCUAGAUACAUUCAUUUCUGCGACAAGUAAUUCCGAACGAAGGGAGUAGCUA
rfam:Triticum aestivum genome assembly, contig: Triticum_aestivum_CS42_TGACv1_scaffold_471227_6AL